rnacentral:rRNA from 1 species
UACGAAGGGGGCUAGCGUUGCUCGGAAUGACUGGGCGUAAAGGGCGCGUAGGCGGUUCGUACAGUCAGACGUGAAAUUCCCGGGCUCAACCUGGGGGCUGCGUUUGAUACGUACGGGCUUGAGUUCGGAAGAGGGUCGUGGAAUUCCCAGUGUAGAGGUGAAAUGCGUAGAUAUCGGGAGGAACACCAGUGGCGAAGGCGAUCAUCUGGGGUUGUUCUGACACUGAGGAGCGAAAGCUAGGGGAGCAAACGGG